rnacentral:lncRNA from 1 species
UCCUCUCUGCUUCCUUACCUCACCCUGCAUCCACCUACAUCGCGCGUGCAUCCCCACCGUCUUCGUCCGAAGCUGCUGCCGGCCGGCGAGACGAACGCAGUGCUGCACUGUGCUCUGCCCUCUGCUUCCACUACUCAGCUCGCACACACAGAUCCACACCUGCGUCGCGCAUCCCCGGCCACCGUCGUCUUCGUCCCCCAGCUGCCGCUGGCCUGCCAGACACACUCCACCAG